CUUUUGUAGAAUGAACCGGCGAGUUACGAUUUGAUGCAAGGUUAAGCAGUAAAUGUGGAGCCGUAGCGAAAGCGAGUCUGAAUAGGGCGUUUAGUAUUUGGUCGUAGACCCGAAACCAGGUGAUCUACCCUUGGUCAGGUUGAAGUUCAGGUAACACUGAAUGGAGGACCGAACCGACUUACGUUGAAAAGUGAGCGGAUGAACUGAGGGUAGCGGAGAAAUUCCAAUCGAACCUGGAGAUAGCUGGUUCUCUCCGAAAUAGCUUUAGGGCUAGCCUCAAGUGAUGAUUAUUGGAGGUAGAGCACUGUUUGGACGAGGGGCCCCUCUCGGGUUACCGAAUUCAGACAAACUCCGAAUGCCAAUUAAUUUAACUUGGGAGUCAGAACAUGGGUGAUAAGGUCCGUGUUCGAAAGGGAAACAGCCCAGACCACCAGCUAAGGUCCCAAAAUAUAUGUUAAGUGGAAAAGGAUGUGGCGUUGCCCAGACAACUAGGAUGUUGGCUUAGAAGCAGCCAUCAUUUAAAGAGUGCGUAAUAGCUCACUAGUCGAGUGACACUGCGCCGAAAAUGUACCGGGGCUAAACAUAUUACCGAAGCUGUGGAUUGUCCUUUGGACAAUGGUAGGAGAGCGUUCUAAGGGCGUUGAAGCAUGAUCGUAAGGACAUGUGGAGCGCUUAGAAGUGAGAAUGCCGGUGUGAGUAGCGAAAGACGGGUGAGAAUCCCGUCCACCGAUUGACUAAGGUUUCCAGAGGAAGGCUCGUCCGCUCUGGGUUAGUCGGGUCCUAAGCUGAGGCCGACAGGCGUAGGCGAUGGAUAACAGGUUGAUAUUCCUGUACCACCUAUAAUCGUUUUAAUCGAUGGGGGGACGCAGUAGGAUAGGCGAAGCGUGCGAUUGGAUUGCACGUCUAAGCAGUAAGGCUGAGUAUUAGGCAAAUCCGGUACUCGUUAAGGCUGAGCUGUGAUGGGGAGAAGACAUUGUGUCUUCGAGUCGUUGAUUUCACACUGCCGAGAAAAGCCUCUAGAUAGAAAAUAGGUGCCCGUACCGCAAACCGACACAGGUAGUCAAGAUGAGAAUUCUAAGGUGAGCGAGCGAACUCUCGUUAAGGAACUCGGCAAAAUGACCCCGUAACUUCGGGAGAAGGGGUGCUCUUUAGGGUUAACGCCCAGAAGAGCCGCAGUGAAUAGGCCCAAGCGACUGUUUAUCAAAAACACAGGUCUCUGCUAAACCGUAAGGUGAUGUAUAGGGGCUGACGCCUGCCCGGUGCUGGAAGGUUAAGAGGAGUGGUUAGCUUCUGCGAAGCUACGAAUCGAAGCCCCAGUAAACGGCGGCCGUAACUAUAACGGUCCUAAGGUAGCGAAAUUCCUUGUCGGGUAAGUUCCGACCCGCACGAAAGGCGUAACGAUUUGGGCACUGUCUCAACGAGAGACUCGGUGAAAUCAUAGUACCUGUGAAGAUGCAGGUUACCCGCGACAGGACGGAAAGACCCCGUGGAGCUUUACUGUAGCCUGAUAUUGAAAUUCGGCACAGCUUGUACAGGAUAGGUAGGAGCCUUUGAAACGUGAGCGCUAGCUUACGUGGAGGCGCUGGUGGGAUACUACCCUAGCUGUGUUGGCUUUCUAACCCGCACCACUUA
rnacentral:rRNA from 1 species